UGCGGAGGGAUCAUUACCGAGUUUACAACUCCCAAACCCAAUGUGAACGUUACCAAACUGUUGCCUCGGCGGGAUCUCUGCCCCGGGUGCGUCGCAGCCCCGGACCAAGGCGCCCGCCGGAGGACCAACCAAAACUCUUUUUGUAUACCCCCUCGCGGGUUUUUUUAUAAUCUGAGCCUUCUCGGCGCCUCUCGUAGGCGUUUCGAAAAUGAAUCAAAACUUUCAACAACGGAUCUCUUGGUUCUGGCAUCGAUGAAGAACGCAGCGAAAUGCGAUAAGUAAUGUGAAUUGCAGAAUUCAGUGAAUCAUCGAAUCUUUGAACGCACAUUGCGCCCGCCAGUAUUCUGGCGGGCAUGCCUGUCCGAGCGUCAUUUCAACCCUCGAACCCCUCCGGGGGGUCGGCGUUGGGGAUCGGCCCUGCCUCUUGGCGGUGGCCGUCUCCGAAAUACAGUGGCGGUCUCGCCGCAGCCUCUCCUGCGCAGUAGUUUGCACACUCGCAUCGGGAGCGCGGCGCGUCCACAGCCGUUAAACACCCAACUUCUGAAAUGUUGACCUCGGAUCAGGUAGGAAUACCCGCUGAACUUAAGCAUAUCA
rnacentral:rRNA from 1 species